UAGAAGAACGAAACGAAGCACACAUCAGGAAGUCAUGCUCUUUCCAACAACAACAGCAAAAGCGCAUAUAAGAGAACUUGAGGAAGAAGUGAAGCUCCUCAAGAACCUUUCGCACCCCAAUAUUGUGAGGUACCUCGGGACUGUC